UAUGUAGGGGGCAAGCGUUGUCCGGAUUUAUUGGGCGUAAAGAGCGUGUAGGCGGCCUGAAAGGUCAGCUGUGAAAACUCGAGGCUCAACCUCGAGACGUCGGUUGAAACCAUCUGGCUAGAGUCCGGAAGAGGAGUGUGGAAUUCCCGGUGUAGCGGUGAAAUGCGCAGAUAUCGGGAAGAACACCCGUGGCGAAGGCGGCACUCUGGGACGGUACUGACGCUGAGACGCGAAAGCGUGGGGAGCGAACAGG
rnacentral:rRNA from 1 species